GAUGAACGCUAGCGGGAGGCCUAACACAUGCAAGCCGAGCGGUAUUUGUCCUUCGGGACAGAGAGAGCGGCGUACGGGUGCGGAACACGUGUGCAACCUGCCUUUAUCUGGGGGAUAGCCUUUCGAAAGGAAGAUUAAUACCCCAUAAUAUAUCGAAUGGCAUCAUUCGAUAUUGAAAACUCCGGUGGAUAGAGAUGGGCACGCGCAAGAUUAGAUAGUUGGUGAGGUAACGGCUCACCAAGUCAGUGAUCUUUAGGGGGCCUGAGAGGGUGAUCCCCCACACUGGUACUGAGACACGGACCAGACUCCUACGGGAGGCAGCAGUGAGGAAUAUUGGACAAUGGGUGGGAGCCUGAUCCAGCCAUCCCGCGUGAAGGACUAAGGCCCUAUGGGUUGUAAACUUCUUUUAUACUGGGAUAAACCUAAUUACGUGUAAGUAGCUGAAGGUACAGUAUGAAUAAGCACCGGCUAACUCCGUG
rnacentral:rRNA from 1 species